GAUGAACGCUGGCGGCGUGCCUAAUACAUGCAAGUCGAGCGAACGGACGCGAAUCUUGCUUCUCUGAUGUUAGCGGCGGACGGGAGAGUAACACGUGUAUACCCUACCUAUCAUACUGGUAUCACUUCGGGAAUCCGGAGCUAAUACCGGAUGAUAUUUUGAACCGCAUUGUUCAAAAGUGAAAGACGGUCUUGCUGUCACUUCUCGCUGGAUCUCCGCUGCUUUAGCUGGUUGGUAAGGUACCGGCUUACCAAGGCUACUAUGCGUAGACGACCGCAGAGACGGGUAGCCCACCCGGGAGGGGAGACACGGACCAGACGCCUGCGGGAGGGAGCAGUAGGGAAUCUGCCGCAAUGGGCGAGAGCCUGACGGAGCAGCGCCGCGUGAGAGAUGAAGGUCUUCGGAGCGUAAAACUCUGUUAUUAGGGAAGAACAGAUGUGUAAGUAACUGUGCACAUCUUGACGGUACCUAGUCAGAAAGCCACGGCUAACUACGUG
rnacentral:rRNA from 1 species